rfam:Auxenochlorella protothecoides strain 0710 unplaced genomic scaffold scaffold45, whole genome shotgun sequence.
UUCGGAAUGGCGCAGAGGUAGCGUGCGGGGCCCAUAACCCCGAGGUCACAGGAUCGAAACCUGUUUCCGAAA